UUUGGGGAUAGAGGUGCAAAUAACAUCAGUACACAAUCGGAGGAAAAUGGGUUCCUGUGAACAUUGUGGAAAGGGGAAUUUGCCGAAGCUUUAAGAAGCUCAUAUAUCUUAAGGCUGGGUCUGUAUUGAAUAAAUACAGGACUGUCAUAUAGGUGACUAUAUGGAGGGCUAUCGUAAAG
rnacentral:ncRNA from 2 species